rnacentral:rRNA from 1 species
UGGGGAAUCUUGCACAAUGGGCGAAAGCCUGAUGCAGCGAUUCCGCGUGGAGGAUGACGCAUUACGGUGUGUAAACUCCUUUUCUGGUGGAAGACGAAUGACGGUACACCAGGAAUAAGGGACGGCUAACUACGUGCCAGCAGCCGCGGUAAUACGUAGGUCCCAAGCGUUAUCCGGAUUUACUGGGCGUAAAGUGUCCGUAGCCUGAUAUGUAAGUCUGUUUUCAAAUACCUGGACUCAAUCGAGGGAAGGGAAUAGAUACUGCAUAUCUAGAGAUAUUUGGAGGUUAGUGGAAUUUCGGGUGGAGCGGUGAAAUGCGUUGAUAUCCGAAAGAACGCCGAAAGCGAAAGCAGCUAACUACAAUACAUCUGACGGUGAGGGACGAAAGUUUGGGGAGCAAACGGG